rnacentral:lncRNA from 1 species
CCUGUAUGCCUGUGCUCUGCACAGUUGAAUAGGUCACGGAGAUGAACGACGAUCGCACCCGUCUGCCUGACCCUGCUCUUCCCCUCUUCUGGGUUUACGUAGGCCUGGACUCUCGCAGUUUGUCAGGGUUUGGUCUGUUCAGUUGCACUUUGGACUGACAGGCUCAACCUUCUGCUUCUGCAUCUGCAGCGGUUCUAUUCUAGAAGUGGACUAAAGGAAAUGAGAAAGAACCAGAACACAUGACAGGUCAAAGGUUAACACCUUUAAGAAACACACCCAGGCACUUCGAAGGGGCAGACAUAGUGAGCGAGGACCCUCUCCUGCCUCAGGAACCAGAGUUUGGUGAGAUUAGGAACGCUUACUCAAAGGCUAUCAUGAACUGAUUAAAAAGGAACAGAUGAGCCAUUAAAAAAACAACAAAGAAAAGAAAAAAAGAAAGAAAGAAAGAAAGAAAGAGAGAAAGAGAGAAAAAAUCCUCUCCUACUCCUCCACCGCCUCUCCUCUCUGAGCCAUCUGGAGCCUCUUCAACCCACACUGUUGUUCGCAGUGAAUUAUGCUAUAAAUAAAAGGCUAUAAAAUCGUUGUGUAUCCUCUCCA